rnacentral:misc_RNA from 1 species
AACAAGAAAAUAACUUGCUUAAUCCUGAAAUCUGUAAUACAUUAACCCACAAAAUUGCAAAUAUCUCAGCUCUGACAGUAGCCUUCUGAAAUAAUAUAACAAGAUAUAUUAUUUUUACUUCUGGUCCAUAAAAAUAGUAAACAUCGUAUAGACAAUUGAAAACUAAAGCUAAACUACUGCUCGAAAAAAUAAAUAAGACUUGGAUAGACAAGAUAACACCUACGACAUAGAAAGUGGAUACUAAUUUUCAGUGUGACUGAGCAGGAACAAGUCAUAUUGAGGGAUGCUUGCAGGAAUAGCUUGCUGAACCCGACAAGCAAAUAUCCACCUGUUCUCAUGUACUUAAAAACCAAAAUUACACCCCUGCACGUACUCAUUUUCAUAAUCCACAUACUUCGACCAUAAAGGCCGAUAUUGGGCCAUUGCAAUAUCAAGCCAUGGCUUCAUAUUCCCAUUAAAGUGGACAACUGCAGCAUUAUUGAUCUCUUCCAUACUGAUACUUGGAUUAUAACCAAGCCCUAAAACAUGCCAUGAUUUGUCCAGUGGCUUUGUUGUGGAGUAAAAUGUGAUUAAUCCUGGAGGCAGUGUACCCAAUUUCCAUAAGGUCCGGUUUUCAUUCAGAGUCUGCCAAUAAUGGUAAUCCUCUGUGAGCUUCUCCCUCCUCCAAGCAUCCAAAUCAAAGAAGUUCAUUCCAUAAGCCCAUGCACACGCCUUGGGAUUGAACUUAGAAUUGAUCAAUGGAUGAGAGAAAUUCAUGUAUUGUGCAUAGCGAUGAAAUGAACCAAAACAUGUCUCCACAGCUCCAUUCACCUUACCAUCCAUAUCUAUCUUCCAUAGACCAGUCAAAUCCUUCUGAACAACAAUAUCAUCGUCCAAGAACAAUAUCCUGUGCAACUUGGGGUACAAUUCUGGUAAAUAGAAUCUAAUGUGGUUCAAUAUGGAGAGAUACUUCGGGUUUCUGAAUUUCAUAUUAGUUGUAUCCUUUGUUGCAUUUUCGAGCUUAUUCUCGAAGUAAAACUGCUGAAGUUUUGCAGAUUCAAGCUGUUUAAGUACCGGAACAUACGAAGAAUUCAGGAACUUAUAAUCCUCGACCGCCUUCACUUCGAUAAAAGCCCCAUUAUAUUCUUUCAUCUUGAACAUAACUUGCAUAGCCCCAAGAUUCA